rnacentral:rRNA from 1 species
UUUGAGUUUUUUAUAUGCCUCAGAAGAAUAGAAGGUGGGGACGCGGCUCAGAACGAACUCUGGCGCCGUGCCUAAUACAUGUAAGUAGAACGGCGCAGAGAGGAGCUUGCUCUUCUAGGAUGAGUUGCGAGGGGGUGAGUAACGCGUAGGUCACCUCCGUAGUAGCGGGGGACAAUUAUUGGAAACGAUAGAUAAUGCCGUAUAACAAUGGAUGCCACAUGUCAUUUAUUAAGAAGGGGCAAUGCUUCCACUUCAAGAUGGACCUGCGGUGUAUUAGCUAGUUGGUGAGGUAAUGGCUCACCAAGGCGAUGAUACAUAGCCGACUUGAGAGGGUGAUCGGCCACAAUGGGACUGAGACACGGCCCAGACUCCUACGGGAGGCAGCAGUAGGGAAUCUUCCGCAAUGGGGGCAACCCUGACGGAGCAACGCCGCGUGAGUGAAGAAGGUUUUCGGAUCGUAAAGCUCUGUUGUUAGUCAAGAACGGGUGUGAGAGUGGAAAGUUCACCCUGGGCCGGAAUUUACCCAAAAGGCACGGCCAAAUACGGUCCAGCCACCGCGGGAAAAGCUAGGUGCCCAACCGUAGCCCGGAACGGGGGCGUAAAGAGGAGGCAGCCGGUUUUGUAAGUUUGGAGGAAAGCGGACGGGUUAACUGCAUAAUUCCUAUUGGAAGCUGGCAACCUGAGGAAAAGC